UGAGAACUUACAAAUAUCGAAGGCGACCCAUACUUCUAAACGAGUCCUUUGUGAUUGUUGAAAUCUUGUUGUUAUGCAGAUAUCUGUUUGAUUAACCAGGGUUAUAAAUACCCAACUGACAGCACAAUUGAGUGAUUAACAGGGUUAAAGGAUGUUAUAAAGCAUGAUUUUAUAGGUACAAUCUUCGAGAGAGGUGUGUAAAUGUUGAGAGGUUGUUAGCGGUGUUCACUGAUCUAUAAACAAUCUUUAUAGUGGAUAAAUAAGGUAAACGAUUUGUAAAGAAUUAAAUAGCCGGGACGAGUACCAACCCCCUACCCCUCAGAUAUAUAAUUGUCCCUCCCGUAUAGAGAAAACGAACAAGUACUGAACUAAAGAAGCAAAAAUAAAAUAAAUUUCGGUGGGAUCUCAUAGUAGCAAGGGCGUUUUGUUACAACCUUACCGAACUAUGGAUAUCUUGACUGGAUUUAACAAGAUUUAACUCAAAUAAGAUUGAACUUAACAACAUGAGUUUAAUUCCAAGAUGGACACUGUACGCUCUCUACUAAUCGUGUCCAGGCCCCCACGACCGGCACUGCCACAGGCCUUUACAGACACAACAGGCGUGGUGAGGGAACACGACACAGAAUGAAAGAUGGCCAUCUAUUUUCGUAUUACUUGUAGAAUCCUUUCUGGUUGCCUAUACUUACAGUGUUUGCAGAGACUCCAACCCGAGGAACGAGUCUUGGCUGAUUCUCUUGAUUUUGUUGUUGUUUAAAUAUCUAAAUAAAGUGAACUUCCGUUUUGUCAUGUGAAAUAUUUCGACUAUGGUACUUGUGGGUGGUUCAGCCACCAAUUAUGAGAGCUUAACAAAUGCUACCACGUGUGUUGGAUGAGUCAGUGGGAGUAAUCGACUGUAAGGCGAUAAGGAAAAAAAAGGUGGCCGAUUAAUAAAUAAACUAUACACUAGGCGGCAAAAUCAUACUUACAGAACUCUUAGGUUUUUGAGUGAUUUCAACGUCUCGUCUGAUAUCUGCUCGAUUUUGUUAUUUUGAAGGUAGCUGCAAACAAAAAACAGUUUUAUAUCAACCUUUUUACAAAAGUUGCAGGCAAUAGUACACAGUGGGUAUGCGAAACACUUCACUCGGAUCUUAAAAGUUUACUCACAGAUGCGUUAGAUUAGUGCAGUUCUGGAACAAAUCCUCUAGCAACGUAAUGUGAUUGUCUCUCAGACUCCUGGACAAGAAAUGAAACAAAAAAGCCUUUGAUAACUUGUUGUUGGUGGUUGUGAUAUUCUUGCGCUGUUGACGAUGUGGUUGUUCUAGAAUUUUCUCUAUUGUGUUUUUAUCUGUUUAUCUAUUUGUCUAUUUGUCUUUUGUCUAUUUGUCUCUUUGUCUAUUUCACUACUGGAAAGUAACCUGUGAAAAAACCUGUGAGAAACCUAUGAGAACCCUGUGAAUAUGUAAAUCAUGUGAAAAAAAACCCUGUGAAUUGAUAUUGUUGUCUAUUUGUCUAAAAUAGACAAAUAGACGAAUUUGUCUAUUUGUCUGUUUGUCUGUUUGUCUCUUUGUGUUGGGCACUGGACACAUGUUCCCUCAUAUAAUUAAAAGCCAUAGUGCACUGAUAACUAAGUAUACUUACAAAACUCUGAGGCUGGUCAUUGAGCUGAAAGUGGCGGGUCCAAUAUCGUCUAGAAUGUUGCUCGAUACAUCUCUGACAAUUAUUAAAAAGAAUCAUCACGUUAGAUGACGACGACAUUGGUGAUGCAGAUGGCGACGACGGUGGUAAUAGUGAAGGCGACGCAAAUGGCGAUGGUUAUAUUUGACGAUGAGGAUUGCGAUGGUUAUGACGAUGGCGAUGGCGAUUUUGUCAAUGACAGUGAUAACAAUGAUGAUUUUGAGCUUAUACUCACAAUGUUUCUAUGGAUGAAAGACCCUUGAAAACUUGGUGCCGCAGCUUCUGUAUAAAGUUGGAGGACAGCUUACUAAAUGGGAAAUAAGUAUUCAGCUUACAUAUCCUUGAUGGAGGGAAGAUUAGAAAAUGCUCCAUCUUGAAGGCGAAGGAUGAUGUUUCCGCUGAGAUCACUAGA